UACGGAGGGGGCCAGCGUUAUUCGGAAUUAUUGGGCGUAAAGGGCGCGUAGGCGGCCAUGCGUGUCUUCCGUGAAAUCCCUCGGCUUAACUGAGGACGUGCGGAAGAAACUGCAAGGCUCGAGUCCGGGAGAGGAGGGUGGAAUUCCCAGUGUAGCGGUGAAAUGCGUAGAUAUUGGGAGGAACACCGGUGGCGAAGGCGGCCCUCUGGACCGGUACUGACGCUGAUGCGCGAAAGCGUGGGUAGCAAACGGG
rnacentral:rRNA from 1 species